AUCCAUCUGACGAGUCCUAAAUAGAACGAAAAAGGUGCCUUGGAU
rnacentral:hammerhead_ribozyme from 1 species